rnacentral:rRNA from 1 species
UACGUAGGAUGCAAGCGUUGUCCGGAUUUACUGGGCGUAAAGCGCGCGCAGGCGGCACACCAAGUACCCUAUGAAAUCUCCUUGCUCAACGGGGAGGGUGUGGGGUAGACUGGUGAGCUAGAGGACGGUAGAGGGGGGUAGAAUUGCUGGUGUAGCGGUGAAAUGCGCAGAUAUCAGGAGGAACACCAAUAGCGAAGGCAGCUCGCUGGGACGUUACUGACAC